rnacentral:rRNA from 1 species
GCGGUAACAGAUCUAGCUUGCUAGAUGCUGACGAGCGGCGGACGGGUGAGUAAUGCAUAGGAAUCUGCCCGAUAGUGGGGGAUAACCUGGGGAAACCCAGGCUAAUACCGCAUACGUCCUACGGGAGAAAGGGGGCUUCGGCUCCCGCUAUUGGAUGAGCCUAUGUCGGAUUAGCUAGUUGGUAAGGUAAUGGCUUACCAAGGCAACGAUCCGUAGCUGGUCUGAGAGGAUGAUCAGCCACAUCGGGACUGAGACACGGCCCGAACUCCUACGGGAGGCAGCAGUGGGGAAUAUUGGACAAUGGGGGCAACCCUGAUCCAGCCAUGCCGCGUGUGUGAAGAAGGCCCUCGGGUUGUAAAGCACUUUCAGCGAGGAAGAACGCCUGUCGGUUAAUACCCGGCAGGAAAGACAUCACUCGCAGAAGAAGCACCGGCUAACUCCGCAGGUGCCACCGCGGUAAUACGGAGGGUGCAAGCGUUAAUCGGAAUUACUGGGCGUAAAGCGCGCGUAGGUGGCUUGAUAAGCCGGUUGUGAAAGCCCCGGGCUCAACCUGGGAACGGCAUCCGGAACUGUCAGGCUAGAGUGCAGGAGAGGAAGGUAGAAUUCCCGGUGUAGCGGUGAAAUGCGUAGAGAUCGGGAGGAAUACCAGUGGCGAAGGCGGCCUUCUGGACUGACACUGACACUGAGGUGCGAAAGCGUGGGUAGCAAACAGGAUUAGAU